rnacentral:misc_RNA from 1 species
GUGCAAAUGCUCCUUUGCCCAUUGACUGUGAAGUGUAUUGGGGUACCAAAAAAGUGUAUACAUGCUGACACCUUAAACCGAAACGGAACUUUUAAAGUAUGGCGUCGGUUCUAACUUUAGAGGCUAAAUUAGAACGGGUGGAUCCCACAACACCAUGGGGAUUUCGAAUGCAAGGAGGAAAGGAGUUCGGAAUUCCCUUGACGAUUCUUAAGGUAAAUCAAGGAAGUCUUGCAGCUAAGUGCGGACUUCAACAAGGGGACAUUAUUCUGAAAAUUGGCAGCCAGGAAACAACAAAUCACAAGCAUAAAGAAGCCCAAGACCUGAUCAUUGGCUCUGGCAACAAACUCGAUCUCCUUCUGCAGAGAGGUGCUCCAGCCCCCCAGCAUACUUAUGAAAAGUUCGCUACCCCCAGCUUCAACUCGUAUUCAAGCCCCUCUGGUGCCCCUCAGGCGGGCUCCCAGAACUACAAUACUGCUGCAAAGCCCUUUGGAUCCCCUGCACCCAGGCCCGAUGUGGACGCUGUCACACAGCAAACUAGUCAACUCUCCUUUGCCCCGAAGCCUGCGGCGGUGCCGGCUGCCCCUCCCCCUCCCCCUCCCAUGCAGGGCCAGGGGCCAGGGUUCUACUCAGCCACCCCACCCCCUCCCCCUCCUGCUCAGACCCAGGGGCCAGGGUUUUACUCAGCUGCCCAGAAGUAUGCAGACAACGAGGAGAAACCAACAUUUGCCCAGCAUCAGUCACGCUCCUUCAAAUUCCUCCAAGGCAUGAUGGACAGUGGACAAGAUAUCCCUGCUAAGCCUGAGCCAAGUCCUCCAUGGAGGGACCAGCCCUCUACACCUAAGGCUCCCCCAGCACCAGCUCAAUCUUCGGCGCCUAAGCCAGGGGUGUGGACUCCCCCAGCAGCUCCUACUGCCAAGCCUUUCACCCCCAAUGUUCAGCCCCCUGCCCCUGCUGCUCCAGGAGGCCCCAAAAUGGGCCCUCCAAGGAACCCAACUGGAGUCAAUGCAGUUAGAGCCAAGAAGGGUGAAGCAACUAUUUUCAAGAGCGGUGAUUCAGUGCCAGGAAUCACAAGAAUUCCCUGUCUGUUCUUCCUGUAGCAUCUCAAUCAGAGGGCCUUUUGUGGUAGCCCUGGGUAAGACCUGGUGCCCUGACCACUUUGUCUGUCAGAACCCGCGGUGUGGUCAGAAACUGCUGGAUAUUGGUUUCGUAGAAGAGGGAGGCUUCUUGUACUGUGAAAAGGACUAUGAACAAUACUUUGCACCAACUUGUACCAAGUGUGGAAAACCAAUUGUUGGGGAGUGUGUUAACGCUCUGCAGAAGACCUACCACCCUGUCUGCUUCAUCUGCUACCAGUGUAAGCAGCCAAUCGGCGGUAACCAGUUCCACUUGGAGGAUGGCAACCCGUACUGUGAAAAUGACUGGAGGCAGAUGUUCCAGACCAUGUGCAAGGGGUGCGACUUCCCCAUCGAGCCCGGGGACCACUGGGUGGAGGCCAUGGGCAACAACUUCCACUCAGAAUGUUUCAACUGCUCGACCUGUGGUGUUAAUCUAGAAGGUCAACCAUUCUUUGCUAAAGGCGGCAAACCCUACUGCAAGAAACACACCCGAUAAAGUUCUCCGUCAAAAUCUUAGAUCCUCCCAUCCACAGUCACUGGACCUUAACCACCUCCUUCCGUGCCUGGAGUUCAGCAGAAAUGUGAUAUGUCAAAUUUUGGAAAACAGUAAUAAAUUUUCAUUUUAGUGCCAAAUCUUUCUUGAUGAUAAUGGAUAUAGUCUGUCACAGUUAGAGGUCAAGAAUGAACUUCAAUCACAUGUUUAAGAAUAUUUGUGUUUUGACAGAGGUGCUUUUGUAUUAAGCUGUAGAAAUAAGCAUGUCGUAAACAUAUCAUAUGAAAAUGAGGGUCAGAAUAGCCAGUUGUCUAGCUAGUCGUGAUAUUAUACAUGUAUUGUUUUACAUGCCUGUGUCUGGGUGACUCCUUAGAUGAUACUAUUUAUAGUCUUAAUGGGUCACAGGGUGCAACCAUUUUUGGCAAAAGAAUCUCAUGUGUGCAAGUAUUAACUUAAAAUCAUAGUAAACACUUUUAAUCUUCAUACAAAUACUUAUACAUGUAAAGAUAACUGCUCUAAAAUGUUGAAGCUUGUAAAUCUACUUUUUCAUGCAUUUGAUUAACUGGAUGUGCAUUAUAUACUGCGCAUUUCUAGGAGGAAUUCACAAUAGCUAAUUUGAUGUAACAGCUUUACAGCCAAAAUAACUUUGCACAGAUGUUACUCAUUGUUUUGAUUAUGCAAUUUGUACAUGCUAGUCUCAGGCAUUUUCUCUAAUUCUUGUACCUAUAUCUUCAUGCUUAUCAUUAGACUCUUUGUGGAAGUUAGUGGAUUUGUUUGUUAACUUGCUUGUAGGAUGUCCACUGUUUAAUUUCCUGUCACAACAUUGGUAUGUUUUAUUUGUUUAUGGAUGAUAAUGUAAAUACUGAAAUAUUGAUAAGUGAACAACACCAAGAUCAAUGAUAUGCUUUAAGCCAGUUCAUUAAUGAAGUAGGAUUGUUUUAUCAAUGGAUUAAUAAAAUAUUUAUCCCAAAAUG